CAAUAGAGUUCUCUCUUCCCCGUUUGCUUAAAAUUUUCGAGAGGCAAUUAUUCAGUGGAUAUUUGUGGAGAGAUUAGUGAGUUUGUUAGGUGUGAUUUUCUCUAUUUUUGAGUUGUUUCACUAGGGAUCAGGGUUUUUUGGAUAGGAUAGAGGGUCUUUGGUGCCUUUGGACCGAGUUCGAUGGUCCCUGUUUUUGCCUCCUUUUGUUAAUAAGGUUUGAAAGAGAAUUUCAGGUCGGAUGUUUGACAGAGAAAAGGAUGGAUGAUUUAAAGUCAUUGCCCGAGGAUGAAUGGUUCUGUGGUGAACAAUGCAACAUGAUGCAUUCACCUCUUCGGAAGUUUUCUGCCGACGGAAAUUUGAAGCUUCCCAGAACUGUUGUGAAGAUUUUGAAGAAGAAAGUUAAGGGAAAAGCUUCAACGCCGAACCCAUAUUAAUUGGAGUGCAGCUCUCACUCUCAAUGAUAUUGGGGUUUCUGGAAGAUAAACUGGUGCGAGUUGGUCAUUUUAUUUCUCUCUCAUCCUACUGCACAUUAAUAAAUGCAAUGAAAAGGUGGUGAUGGAUCUCUAUCCUAAUUGGGUAUUGUAUCAAUUUCAUGUCAACAAAAGACUAUAGAAAACAUAUAAAGCAACGAGUUGGGUAAUAUAGUAAUUAUGAAUAAUUAAUUUAAUAAAUAAAAAUAAAUGAAAGUUCUUAUAUAAUAAUUUGUUUAAAGUGUAUAAUAUAGCUAUUGACAAUAAUGAAUAGUGAAUUGGUGAUCAUGUUAC